rnacentral:lncRNA from 1 species
CCCCAGCACGUAGUUGUAUAUUCUAGCUGUAGGUCCCUCUGGUUGUGCUAUGCGGGACGCUGCCUCAGCAUGGCCUGAUGAGCGGUGCCAUGUCCGCGCCUAGACCCAGACCGACGAAACCCUGGGCCAGCUAAGUGGAGCUCGUGAACCCAACCACUCGGCCAUGGUGCCAGCCUACCCACUAGCUGUCUUUUAAGGAAGCUAUAAAAGGAGGAGGCAGACUGUGGCAAAGAUCAGAUGGAGGAGAAAGAGGCAGGGGAGGGCAAAGGAGGGAGGAUUUGGUGCCAGCUGUGGAAAUCGGGGAGGCCUUCAUGGGGAAGGUGGCAUUUGAUCUGUACUUUGAGGACAUGUGGUAUUUCACCAUAUGUGGAGUAUGUGGAUAUGUGGGUAUGUGGGUAUGUGGGUAUGUGAGUAGGAGGGAAGGAAGGAGCAUGGCCCGUGCCCCCUUCACUGUCCAGCCUGUCUCUGCUGCCCCUGCUUUCUCCUGUCCUUCUUCCUCAUUCCAGUCAGAGUGACUCUCCACCUCCUGAAUCUCCCUCCAGGAGAAGGCUGUGGCUGGUCAGCUUCCCGCUUCUGACUGAUCAUCCCUUCUGGCCAUUUCCCUGGGUUUUUUUUCGCUCUCCCACUUUACACCCUGAACCCUACUAUUGUUACUGAACGGGGUUUGUUUUGCCCGCUGCACAAUUAUGCCAAUUACCAAGAUGACAUAUUUGCAGCAGAAAGAGGGUUUAUUCACAGGACAGCCAGGUGAGGUGACAGGAGAACCAGUCUCAAAUCUGCCUCCCCCCAAAAAUGGGGGUUAGGGCUGUUUAUGGGAUAAGGGGGCAGAGUAGUCUAAAGUGUGAGAAUAGAUGAUUGGAGGAGAGGAGAAGUGAGGUAACAGAUGACCUGUGCAAGCAUAGUCAAACUUCAUGGCUCCUCAUAGGACGCAUGUUCACAAAAUGUUGGCAUUAGCAUGAUCUGAGGGUGGAGUUUUUGGCCCCUUGAUGUCAAAGGGUCACCUAUUGGUAAUCCACACAGGCCCAGUUGAUGAGUCAGUGGUCUUAAGCAGCCUGAACUGGACAAGGGGUCAACUCUCAGUUCCUGAAAAACGCAAGCACCUAUUACCGUGGUGACCCAAGCAUCAGAGAUGUUAUCUAUAGGGUUUUGGUCCUAUCUGCCACUUAACAGCUGCAGAUUCUUCAAGCCAUCCACCUGCCAUUGCAGUCAGGGAGCCUCUGGCAGCCACCUCUGCAUUCACAGUCAACCAUAAUGUCUCUGUUUCUCUGUAUUUUACCAUAAGAACUUCAGAGUAAGCCCUCGUAUGUGUAUGUUUUAAGUCCAUCAGUUUUUUUUUUCAAAUCAGUUUUAAUAAAACAAUGUGCCAGCCCCUGGACUAGGCAGUCUGAGUGACCUGUGGGCUUGGGCAUUCCUGGGCACUGGGUUCCUGCACUUAGAAAUUACUAGACAAUGUGCUCUGUUCUGCUUGUCAUGAGCUUCUGGGGCCUUUCUGCCAUUUCCUGGUCACCUCCAGGUGGACCCAGAGGAAGUGUUUCUAGGAUGAGCUCAGAAAGGGCUGCCCCCAGGUACCCCAGGUAAAUGCAGAUGUUUAUUGGAUUCUCCUGGGUGAAACGGGGUGGGGAAUGUCUAAUAGGAGGAGGUCCUGAGUCACAGAGGAAUCAUUUCUUCACCUCAUUUGUAUUGUUAUGACUCUUCUCACAGCUGGAAAUUUUUUUUUUUUUUUUUGCUUAG